UGGGGAACCUGCCCCAUAGUCUGGGAUACCACUUGGAAACAGGUGCUAGUACCGGAUAAGAAAGCAGAUCGCAUGAUCAGCUUUUAAAAGGCGGCGUAAGCUGUCGCUAUGGGAUGGCCCCGCGGUGCAUUAGCUAGUUGGUAAGGUAAAGGCUUACCAAGGCGAUGAUGCAUAGCCGAGUUGAGAGACUGAUCGGCCACAUUGGGACUGAGACACGGCCCAAACUCCUACGGGAGGCAGCAGGC
rnacentral:rRNA from 1 species